UACGUAGGGGGCGAGCGUUGUCCGGAAUUAUUGGGCGUAAAGAGCGUGUAGGCGGUUCGGUAAGUCUGUCGUGAAAACCUGAGGCUCAACCUCGGGCGUGCGAUGGAUACUGCCGGGCUAGAGGAUGGUAGAGGCGAGUGGAAUUCCCGGUGUAGCGGUGAAAUGCGCAGAUAUCAGGAGGAACACCAGCGGCGAAGGCGGCGCUCUGGGCCGGUACUGACGCUGAGGAGCGAAAGCGUGGGGAGCAAACAGG
rnacentral:rRNA from 1 species